rnacentral:rRNA from 16 species
GGAUGUGAUCAUACCAGCACUAAAGCAUCGGAUCCCAUCAGAACUCUGAAGUUAAGCGUGCUUGGGCGAGAGUAGUACUAGGAUGGGUGACCUCCUGGGAAGUCCUCGUGUUUCAUUCA